GAUCAUGGGUGGUGAUCAGCACCGCGCCCGCCCCCGCCCAGCUCGCCCACCAUAGAUAGAAGUGGAAAACAGGAUUGUUAGGAAACAGGUGGAUCAUCUCAGAAGUCAAGAAAUCCUCCAACAAUCGAUUAAUCCACCUGAAAUCAAAGUCAAAACUUCGACCCCCGAGGUGCCAGAUCGACAAAGAAUAGACGUACCUGGUACCUCUCCUGAAGUAUAUAAUUCUGAACUGCCAUUGUCUAGGCAUGUCCCUGAAGCUGCAGUUCCUGCUCAAGUUGAUCCAGUGGAAGAACCUCCAGUUGUAGAGUUGUGUCGCUCUACCUGAAUCUGAAGAAUUCCUUAAAAACUAAAUUUAUAAUGGCAUUAUAAAAUGUAUAUCAUUGUAUAUAAUAUGGAUUAAGAUGUUUUUGUAAAUAAGAGGGUAAAACAAAACUAAAGGGGGAGGAAUGUAGUAAUUGUAAGGUAAACCAUUUCUGACUGCUAUGGGGAUCAUGUGACUAUAUAGAUUAAUCAGUCCUAAGCACAGGGAAUCUUAGGGCUGGAGCUUUUUAGCCUUGGUCUUGGAACAAGCAUGUAAUCUCAUCUGGAGUCUGUAAAUAAAGUUUACUAUUUCUUACAA